GACUCGUCACACUAUCAUUAACUGAAUCCAUAGGUUAAUGAGGCGAACCGGGGGAACUGAAACAUCUAAGUACCCCGAGGAAAAGAAAUCAACCGAGAUUCCCCCAGUAGCGGCGAGCGAACGGGGAGGAGCCCAGAGCCUGAAUCAGCAUGUGUGUUAGUGGAAGCGUCUGGAAAGGCGCGCGAUACAGGGUGACAGCCCCGUACACAAAAGCGCAUGUGCUGUGAGCUCGAUGAGUAGGGCGGGACACGUGGUAUCCUGUCUGAAUAUGGGGGGACCAUCCUCCAAGGCUAAAUACUCCUGACUGACCGAUAGUGAACCAGUACCGUGAGGGAAAGGCGAAAAGAACCCCGGCGAGGGGAGUGAAAAAGAACCUGAAACCGUGUACGUACAAGCAGUGGGAGCACCCUUUGGGGUGUGACUGCGUACCUUUUGUAUAAUGGGUCAGCGACUUAUAUUCUGUAGCAAGGUUAACCGAAUAGGGGAGCCGGAGGGAAACCGAGUCUUAACCGGGCGUUAAGUUGCAGGGUAUAGACCCGAAACCCGGUGAUCUAGCCAUGGGCAGGUUGAAGGUUGGGUAACACUAACUGGAGGACCGAACCGACUAAUGUUGAAAAAUUAGCGGAUGACCUGUGGCUGGGGGUGAAAGGCCAAUCAAACCGGGAGAUAGCUGGUUCUCCCCGAAAGCUAUUUAGGUAGCGCCUCGUGAAUUCAUCUCCGGGGGUAGAGCACUGUUUCGGCUAGGGGGCCAUCCCGGCUUACCAACCCGAUGCAAACUGCGAAUACCGGAGAAUGUUAUCACGGGAGACACACGGCGGGUGCUAACGUCCGUCGUGAAGAGGGAAACAACCCAGACCGCCAGCUAAGGUCCCAAAGUCAUGGUUAAGUGGGAAACGAUGUGGGAAGGCCCAGACAGCCAGGAUGUUGGCUUAGAAGCAGCCAUCAUUUAAAGAAAGCGUAAUAGCUCACUGGUCGAGUCGGCCUGCGCGGAAGAUGUAACGGGGCUAAACCAUGCACCGAAGCUGCGGCAGCGACGCUGAUGCGUUGUUGGGUAGGGGAGCGUUCUGUAAGCCUG
rnacentral:rRNA from 1 species